GCCAACUGGGCUGCAUAGCAGGCUACUUUGAUAUAGUAGAUUGUGAAUAAUUUAUUCCGUUGGUA
rnacentral:tRNA from 1 species